rnacentral:lncRNA from 12 species
GUAUCCAUGCCCACCUGGAGAGCAACGAUGGCUUUCUGGUGCCUUCAGAGCUGCUGGCAGUACUCCUGUGUUAUGGAUCAGGUGGACCAACACCAGGAAGCAUGAACAUGCCUGCUGUUGGCCACCAGAAGCAAUGUUAGUAGACCAAAUCCAUGGCUAAUAUCCGUCUCAUGAUGUACCUUGUGCUUCUCUGUAAGAAGGCAUUUUUCUUGUGUGGAUUUUCCUAUUAGUUUGUCACAUGUGACCAGACAUUUCUGAAAUCAAUAGUGUAUGCAACAUAAAUUCAAAUGAGAACACAGAUGCACAUGUAUACACACAAGUCACACUUCAUAUGUAAGUGGUCCAAUAUUUUUGGAAAGCUGCAGGGAAAAAUCAAGGUUGUAUAAAAUAUAAGGUAGUAAAGACCACACUUUCCAAACAUGUAAUUAUAUUAAUUUUUUUAACUCUGAGAAGUCCUCUGGAAUAGGACACAUAAAAUACAUAACAAGAAACAUGCAAAAGGUAUGUAUUUAUGUGCAUCUUCUGAGUCAUUCCCAUAGGAGGCAUGAAUCAUUUCAUUUCUAUCAGAAUGGGGUAUCCUUUAUUAUGGUCAAGAUAUCUAAAAUCCCCAAAUACCCAAAGGCACAGCCAGCUUCCACUGCAAGUUCGCUGAUCUUGAUAGAGCAAUGGCAACAAAGCAACAAAAGGCCAAAACUCAGCUGUAUCCUUCUAAUGGAAGGAGAUGCUAAAGUGAUGUCUUUCUGCCAGCAACAGGGAAAAAUGAAAUCAGAAAUUUUUAAAAAGCAGCAGCAAAAAAGGAAAGCAGAAUUUACAAGGAACAUGUUUACCUCCAGUGUCCAAGACCAAGUUGGCCAAGCCUGGGUAGAAGCAAAAGUCUUGGAUUGGCUACCACACUGGAGGGAGAGAAGACUAGAGCCAGAACCAGAGCAAGAUCAGAAGACCCUGCAUCCUUCCCUAAGUGAGCUGGCCUGACCCUUAGCUGGAAAGAACAAGGAGCAGAUGGCUGGGUGGAUGUGUAGAAAACACGUUCCACUCAGUGCCUUGGGAUCAGAUAGACACAAAUCAGAAUUUCUCCUCCUUGGAUGAACACUGACAAUCUAUCUGAGACAGCAGCCCCCACCUGGGAUUUCCUGUCCCCAUACACUGUGAGGUAUUUUUCUUCCCAACCUUUAUACCAACUGACAAUACAUAUAUAUACAUUGUUUAAAAAAAGAAAAAAAAAAAAAAAAAGGAACAGCAGGCCCAAAAUGGAGUCACUUGCGCCUGUGACAGACAGCAAAACAAGACUAAACUGCAAUUUCAGCCACUCCGGGGAAUGUAACCUUUAAGCAGUCAACCUGGAAUUACCUGAUCAGCACUACUGAGGGAAUGUGCCAGAUAGGCCCCCAUCUGUCUCCCAAAGCAAGGUGACUUGCCUGAAAUAAUCCUUUUAUGUAGACUUCCUUGAACUACCUUCUUUCUGCCUUUAAACACCUUCUAUUUUAUAUCACCCUCCAAGCUCCCUUCUAUUUGCUAGAUGAGAUAUUGCCUCAUCCAUGAACCGCUGAAUAAAGCCAAUUAAAUCUUUAAGUCUACUUAGUUG